GGACAUUUCCGCACCUGCCAGAAGUCUACGGCCAGCGGGGUGUGCGGGAUAACAUUCCCAUUGACGUACAUGGUCUGUGAUUUCACUGGAUGUCCAGCCCUCAGCGAUGUGAAAGUUGGGCCGAUGACUGGCUGUAACGAAAUAUGGCUCCGAAAUACCUGAAAAACACACCGAACAAAGGAAUAAAGAUGAUCAUCAUGACUCAACAAAGUACAUUCAACUCAACUAAUGCAAGUUAACAAGACCAGAAGUUAAAGCUCCACUGGUGGCUCCUACAGGCUGAGAAACACAUUUCUGAUGGAGUAAUUCAAGUCAGCCCAACAAGACAGAAACAAGGGAGUGUAAAGAAAUGAGAAAAACGGAAUAACGGCUUGUGUCAUGAAUAUUAAUGUCGCUCCACAUGACAUGGACAUCAUUUGCAGGAAUACUGCCCAUGCCCUCCUGAACCAAGAAUGUAUACCACCCUAUGCAAAUGGAAAUGUAUUUAUGAAAUAUUAAUCUCUUCAAAUUUUCAAUGUGUGUGCACUCUCUUAACCUGCUUUCAUAGCAUACACCUCUGCAGCACAUUUAUCACAUCAUAUAGGUGCCUAUAGGGACUGAAGACACAGGACAGUGUCAAAAUGUAACCUUAUUAGUCCACUUUUGAUAUCUGGCCUUGUGGGUUUAGGGUCUCAUUUAGGGAUCUUUCAGCGGCUGCGAUACAACUAUCUGCAAACUGCACUCUGUGCGAUGGGUCCAGAAAGAAACCAGUGACCUUCUCAUUAUGAAAGCAGCAAUAAAUCUCAGGAAGAUACAGUGA